CUUCAAGGAACAACUGCUAAUGAGUCUGCAGAGUCGCCUGUGUGUCUUUCAGCGUAGUCUCCACUCAGAGCUGAGUGAGUGGCCCCAUUGAUGAGUGACCUGCUGCCGGCUCUGGACCAAAGCUGUUCUGUCCUUCCCACUGACUUGGAACCAGUCUGUAGAACCGGAAGCAGAGAAAAGAAGCAAUCAGACUUCCCUUUCAAUCAACUCGUGACAUUUGACUCCAGAGACAGAGGCACAGUGAAAUAGUUAUCUGACGACCAUCCUCACUUUGAGGGCGCACAUCGUGGAGCUUCCUGUGUGAAGAUUUGGAGCCUUCGUGGUGCUUGCUCAGGCCUUGGACUGAGCAUGAGUGAAUUCUGGCUGUGCUUCAACUGCUGUAUUGCAGAGCAGCCUCAGCCUAGGCGACGACGGAUUGACCGAAGUAUGAUUGGGGAACCAACCAACUUUGUGCACACAGCUCACGUAGGAUCCGGAGACCUAUUUAGUGGGAUGAACUCGGUCAGCUCCAUUCAGAACCAGAUGCAGUCCAAGGGAGGUUAUGGAGGAGGAAUGCCUGCCAAUGUGCAGAUGCAGCUUGUGGACACAAAGGCAGGAUAGCCCUGGUCCCUUCAUCUGUCAUUGUGAACUCCCGUAUUUUCUCUGUCCACAGUUCUAUAAUAUUUUUGUCUUGUGAUUGGAUUUCUUUUAUUUUAAUUAUAAAAAAGAAGUGUGGCGGCAAUCUGUUCACCCUGUGAUCUCCAGCAAAGAUGUUCCUGCUCCAGGGAAGGCAGUGUCAGGCCGACCUGCCUUGCCGUUAGCGGCAUGCAUGCCUGGGACUCUGACAGAGUUCUUUGGAUCGUAGCUGAAUUUUCAAUGUUUAAUUGACAUGGAUCGGAUCUUAGCAUGGUCUUCUUUGUGACUGCUAGCACUGUAUUGUAAUUUUCCAUUUUAAACCUUUUCGUUGCACCUCCAGCCCCUCUGCCGUAUGAUUUACUGGUAAACAAAGAGCUGUAAUUACUGCCAUCGUUUAUGUAUAUUUGGAAGGUAUGAGACCCACAGCACAAUAGUCCUUUGCAGCUGUGGAACGUGCGUGGAGUGCGUCUGCACACUCCAUGGUGCUGCUCAGAGGGGACCCCAUGGGACACCAGACCUCCAUCCUGAGCUGCUGCAGCCUGAGGUGGCUCCCCUCUCAGAGGAGGCUCUUUACACAUAUUCCGAGUGGGUUCUGGUCUGACAAGAGCCGUGACAGGAAAGCCUGCGUUGCAGAGGCAGUGGCUUGGCUGUAAAUGUUGAGUGUAUUUAUUUGAGAGUAAGGACCUGUGAUUGUGAGCAGAUGCAGUCUGGAUCUGAGUGUGUGAAGCCCAUUCAGUCUCUCAGCAUCUCCGUCCUGUUAGCUCUUUGUGUUUCUAAGACUUUUGGGGUCAGAUUGCUCCCCCUGUCUGUGAGUUCAGAUUCCGGCCUCUGCCACCAGCUGUGACUCGCAGGGUCCUUGGCCUUCCAGUGUUCACUUACCAUGGACGCUGUGGCAGCUUCCAACAGCAGCCUGCUGCCUGGCUGCCUCAGUGACCAGCCCUCAGUAACAUUCUGAGGGUAGUAAGAGGCCUUUGCUCAGGUCCCGUUCUGUCCUCUUCCCUGCUGAGUGUAAGUAGCUGGGCCCUGUGGUCCACAGUACUUUCUAUCUGCCUUUGACUGAUCGAUUAGCAUUUGUGCAGAAGAUGGGUCUUAACUCAGAUUAGAGCACUGAAGGCACGUAGGUCCUCGGCUAGAGAAGCUGUGAUCUUUUCUUUUCUGCCUUCACCUGUCCCCGUCCUGAGAAUGCUGACUGAAGAGCCACUAGGCUGAGGCAGGCAAAGCCAAAAGCAUUUCCCUCUGUUUCUUCAGAGCGUAACUUACACAGGGUGGAACACUGGGUGACCUGAUUCUUACCAUUCUUAGGUGUCAGUCCUGAGCACAGAGGAUUUCUCUGUCUAGGAGAAACGUUUUCUUCACUGGAUGGACACUGCACUCUAGAGUCUGCCAUUCUGCUUAGCCAGGGUGAGGUUCCUGCCAGGGCACUGCUGUGUGCAGACUUUCUGUAUAACAGACAGGGAAUUCUUGGCAUCGUCGGCACUGAUGGAUGGGACAGCACAGGGAGCCAUUGUCCCCUCCCCCAUCACUGUUUGCUGCUCCAAGGCCAGUCAUUAAUAAGCCAAAGGCUCCUGAAGCCCAUGAUGGUCCUGGCAGCCUCUGACCUCUCGGCACAGUGAGACACUGUCCCCAGCACAGCGCCUGGUGCCCUGGAGGGUUCCAGUAAGGUCGAGAGAGUGUACAGCGUGACCUGGUACAUGCUGGUUAUGGAGGCCUGAGGAUGCCGGCAAAGGUGCAGGGACACGUCCCACCUCCUCCAAUGGGAUCGUAAACCUUGGGAACUCCUCUGUUCCCCUAGUCACACAUCUCAUUUUUAAAUUGGAGCUAAUAGGAUUUUGUACCCAGAAUUUAUUAUAUUGCUAAUAUUUCUCUGAAAUACAUGGUAACAACUAGUAAGCAGGAGAAACAGCAGAUCGCAGCGGUGUGCUGGGCGCAGCUUCUCCAGUGGGCCUGGAAAGUGUUUGGUCAUGAAACGGAGCUGUUGGUGAGAGCAGCUGCUUGAUCUGCUCGGUGACUCGUGCUCAGCCCCAGAAGACAAGAUGGACGUAUUUUUAUAAUCUAAGCAUACUUUUUUUGUACAUUGUGUUCAUUCUUGAAUAAAGUGAGCUCACUGUUGGCUUGUAGAUAUUAAAAAAGAAAGUAUUGAUUUUGAUUCAAUAAAUGUUUUCUUUU
rnacentral:lncRNA from 1 species